CGCGCGCGUCCGGGAGGUGGGACGGGCGGCGCCAUGGAGGAGCGGGAAGGCUGUUUCAGGAAGGAGACGGUGGAGCGGCUGCUGCGGCUGCACUUCCGAGACGGGAGGACGCGAGUUAACGGCGACGCGCUGCUGCUGAUGGCGGAGCUGCUGACGGUCUUCGUGCGAGAAGCUGCGGCGCGAGCAGCGCGACAGGCACAGGCGGAGGACCUGGAGAAGGUGGACAUCGAGCACGUGGAGAAGGUGCUGCCCCAGCUGCUUUUAGAUUUCUAGAGACGUGGUGAGGCAGAAGUGAUGGCUCAGCCGCUGGCAGAAGAUCCCGGCCUGAUGCUGAGUCCAGCUCUAGGAAGAACAGUGUCAUCUCCUUCCUCUGCCCAAUUGCUUCUGCUCCCCCGCUCCUGUAUCAAGGCUCUGAUGGCAGAUGCUGUUUUUGAAUAGAGGCCUCCGCUCACUGGCUUUGGUGGGCUGUAACUGGUUUCCCUCUCACUGCCUUCCUUCUUUAACGGUGUGCCCAUCAGCACGGUAAAGCUGCUGUUGCUUUCUCAGCUAAUGUGAGAAACAGGUGCUUCUUCGGACGAUGAGAGGCAUGGAAAGACUUAAUGGCUGGAAAUGUCAUCCAAACAUCAGGCUCUCCUCAUCUCAGCGGGCGGCAGCGGCAGAAACUUCAGUAUUUCUCCAGGGCUGUGACAUCAAAGAGCGCUCAGAACCUUUUAACCAUUUGAUAUUCUCCUCAGAAGCUGCUUCCCCUCUGCUAUAAAUUUGUUCUCACAAAGAAACAUCAAUAAAUCAAAAACGAGGCUCCCC